CCUGUCCCUAGAGUCAUUACAGGUGUGUUGCUGUGUGUCAUAUGUACAUCAAUAGGUGGCAGAGAGGAGAGAGGCGAUGUCUACACUCAGUGUUUUGACCUAUGAACAUCUGAAUGAUUAGUAGCCUGGCAUU